rnacentral:misc_RNA from 1 species
UAUGGAUCAAAACUCACAAUUAUCUGCCAGACCAGAUCUUAGCGUGGGAUCGAAGCUUACGGUUCCACUAAGAUGCGCAUGCCCGAGUACAAAUCAAACAGCAAAAGGGGUGAUCUCCUUGCUGGUUUAUACUGUGACGUGGGAUGAGACGAUUUCAUCGAUUGCACAGAGGUUUGGGGUUGAUGAAGCAAGCGUGCUGGAGGCCAACAAGUUGUCACAGGAAGGCAAUAUCUAUCCCUUCACACCUAUUCUGGUUCCACUUACAAACGAGAAUCAUUUGAUAAAUGCGGGGAAUUCAGCAAAUCCGAGGAAUUCAGCAAAUCCAGGGAAUUCAACAAAUUUAGGGAAUUUCUCUUGCCUCUAUGCUAAUGGAUCUGUUCCAGUUGGAGUAGCAGAAGAUAUCUAUUGCAGAGCACAAAAUAAAAAGUUCCCUACCAAACUGGUUGCAGUAUUAGGUGUGGGCAUUGGCGUGGGACUGCUGUGUUUGUUUAUUUUCGCCUAUAAGUUAUAUCAAUUCUUGAAGAAAAGAAGAUACAGAAUUCGAAAAGCCAGAUUGUUCAUGCAAAAUGGUGGCUUGUUGUUGCAACAGCGACUAUCAUCUUAUGGAAGUAGUGAAAAGGCCAAAUUAUUUACUGCAGAGGAGCUGCAGAGAGCAACCGACAACUACAACCAGAGUAGAUUUCUUGGUCAGGGAGGCUUUGGCACUGUUUACAAGGGGAUGCUACCAGACGGUAGCAUAGUUGCUGUUAAAAGAUCAAAAACUAUUGACAGAAGAGAAAUUGAACAAUUUAUAAAUGAGGUUGUCAUUCUAUCCCAGAUAAAUCAUCGAAACAUAGUGAAGUUUCUUGGCUGUUGUUUAGAAAGUGAAUUUCCAUUA